CGCUGGCGGCGUGCUUAACACAUGCAAGUCGAACGCUGAAGCUCCAGCUUGCUGGAGUGGAUGAGUGGCGAACGGGUGAGUAACACGUGAGUAACCUUCCCUUGACUCUGGGAUAAGCCCGGGAAACUGGGUCUAAUACCGGAUACGACUCUCCACCGCAUGGUGUGGGGGUGGAAAGAUUUAUCGGUCUUGGAUGGACUCGCGGCCUAUCAGCUUGUUGGUGAGGUAAUGGCUCACCAAGGCGACGACGGGUAGCCGGCCUGAGAGGGUGACCGGCCACACUGGGACUGAGACACGGCCCAGACUCCUACGGGAGGCAGCAGUGGGGAAUAUUGCACAAUGGGCGCAAGCCUGAUGCAGCGACGCCGCGUGAGGGAUGACGGCCUUCGGGUUGUAAACCUCUUUCAGUAGGGAAGAAGCGAAAGUGACGGUACCUGCAGAAGAAGCGCCGGCUAACUACGUGCCAGCAGCCGCGGUAAUACGUAGGGCGCGAGCGUUAUCCGGAAUUAUUGGGCGUAAAGAGCUCGUAGGCGGUUUGUCGCGUCUGCCGUGAAAGUCCGGGGCUUAACCCCGGAUCUGCGGUGGGUACGGGCAGACUAGAGUGCAGUAGGGGAGACUGGAAUUCCUGGUGUAGCGGUGAAAUGCGCAGAUAUCAGGAGGAACACCGAUGGCGAAGGCAGGUCUCUGGGCUGUUACUGACGCUGAGGAGCGAAAGCAUGGGGAGCGAACAGGAUUAGAUACCCUGGUAGUCCAUGCCGUAAACGUUGGGCACUAGGUGUGGGGGACAUUCCACGUUUUCCGCGCCGCAGCUAACGCAUUAAGUGCCCCGCCUGGGGAGUACGGCCGCAAGGCUAAAACUCAAAGGAAUUGACGGGGGCCCGCACAAGCGGCGGAGCAUGCGGAUUAAUUCGAUGCAACGCGAAGAACCUUACCAAGGCUUGACAUGUUCCCGACCGGGCCAGAGA
rnacentral:rRNA from 1 species